GGUUAUACUGUCUCCUUUUUCUAAUCAGUGAAACUAAUCUUCCCGUGAAGAAGCGGGAAUACCCCUAUAAGACGAGAAGACCCCAUGGAGCUUCAAACCCAACUACACCCCUAACUUCUAUAACCCCCACCCCACGGGACCCUGUAUAGUUGGUUUUAGGUUGGGGCAACCACGGAGCACAACAAAGCCUCCACAAUGAAUGGGACCACCCCCCUUAUCUAAGAGCCACACCCCUAGGAAUUAAAACAUUAAUAUAAAAUGAUCCAUUAUUUGAUCAAUGAACCAAGUUACCCUGGGGAUAACAGCGCAAUCCAUUUCAAGAGCCCCUAUCGACAAAUGGG
rnacentral:rRNA from 1 species